GAAAAAUAAAUAUAAGUUUUUAAAUACACUUAAAAUUCGUAAGCCGGCAUCGUUUUGCAUGCACGGAAUCGUAUACAAAUGAUCAUAUCGUUCCUAUGUAUGUC